rnacentral:rRNA from 1 species
AUACGGAGGGUGCGAGCGCUAAUCGGAAUUACUGGGCGUAAAGCGUGCGUAGGCGGUCUGUUAAGUCAGAAGUGAAAGCCCUGGGCUCAACCUGGGAACGGCUUUUGAGACUGGCAGACUCGAGUUGAGUAGAGGGGAGUGGAAUUUCCGGUGUAGCGGUGAAAUGCGUAGAGAUCGGAAGGAACACCAGUGGCGAAGGCGACUCCCUGGACUCAAACUGACGCUGAGGUACGAAAGCGUGGGUAGCAAACAGGAUUAGAAACCCUAGUAGUCC